UAGUAUGUGGCCUGUGAUGAUUUCAAGGGU
rnacentral:piRNA from 1 species